GAGAACGUGGCCUGGGACCCCGGAUACUUUUGGGGGUCUAACAGUACUAAACUUCAACAAGAAGAAAAUGCCCAGGGUGGCUUGUGUCUGACAGGGGAGUGAGAUCGGCAUUUUAGAACAAUCUGGAGAUGAUAGACGCACCCUGGGAAUGGUCAUGACGCCAUUGUGGAGUCCAGGCAAGAAAGGAUCCAGCAGGAAAGUGGCGGUGACUAUGGAGAUCUGAAGCAUGGGAGCUCUAAGAUAUUUGGCACUUUUGAAGAAUCAAAGCUGAUUCCUGAGCAAUCAUUUGAGAAGAUAAUUCUCUGUAGCUAGAAGUGGUGAAAGGAACUCUUUUUGAAGGCCGAGUUUUGCACUGGACCUGCACAUACAUAUGGGAUGCUGACUGGACACUCCGGAAGAAAGGGAACAAAUGUUUGUCACGAAAGCUGGAGAUCUGAGAGUGGCAAUCCCUGCCGAGGGGCUUGGGGCUCGUGCCUGGGGACAGCAUGGAAGAGAUACAGUUUGGCACCUGGCUGUGAGGUCUUCCUGCCUCUCUUCCUUCCGUCUUGUGGAGCCUUUCGGCUGGUCUUCAUUCAAGAGGACUGAGUUGGUGAAGAAUGAAGAUAUAUGCAAACUCCUGGACCCUGUUUACCUCUGCAAAGUAAUUCCAUUGCUUUCUGCCAUUUAGUCCAAGCAAAGAUUCUGGGCCAGG